rnacentral:rRNA from 1 species
GAUGAACGCUGGCGGCGUGCUUAACACAUGCAAGUCGAACGAAGCACUUUGGGGUUUUCGGACAAAGAAGUGACUGAGUGGCGGACGGGUGAGUAACGCGUGGGUAACCUGCCUUAUACAGGGGGAUAACAGUUAGAAAUGACUGCUAAUACCGCAUAAGCCGAUAGAGUCGCAUGACUUAGUCGGAAAAGAUUUAUCGGUAUAAGAUGGACCCGCGACUGAUUAGCUAGUUGGUGAGGUAAUGGCCCACCAAGGCGACGAUCAGUAGCCGGCUUGAGAGAGUGAACGGCCACAUUAGGACUGAGACACGGCCCAAACUCCUACGGGAGGCAGCAGUGGGGAAUAUUGCACAAUGGGGGAAACCCUGAUGCAGCAACGCCGCGUGGAGGAAGAAGUAUUUCGGUAUGUAAACUUCUAUCAGCAGGGAAGAAAAUGACGGUACCUGACUAAGAAGCCCCGGCUAACUACGUGCCAGCAGCCGCAGUAA